GCGUGUGGGUAGAGAGUUGCUCGGCGCUGGAUGAGGCCUCUCUCCGAGCCUUGAGACAAUAAAUGCUGGUUAAAAAGAAGAAGUUCUCCUCAUCGUUGUGAAUGUAUGUCGUGUAUGAAUGCUGUAGUAACUAAAUUACCCUCUGAUAUCGUCAGCACAUUGACUCUCUGGGACUCUUCUUGUCAGUUGGACGUUUUUCUGAAGAAAGAUGAAACCAUACUAGGUGGCAAGACAUCAGUGGCCAUUGUUUCUCUCCACUCCAAACUUCAAGCAGCACAGAUUUUGCUGCAUGGGGUUUAGGACCAGACCGACUACACAUGCAUGCACAAAACCUCCUCGGGGCUGGAACGGGCUGGGCCUGUGGAGGAGCGGUGGCCCAGGCUUCGCCC